GAUGAACGCUGGCGGCGUGCCUAAUACAUGCAAGUCGAGCGAACAGACGAGGAGCUUGCUCCUCUGACGUUAGCGGCGGACGGGUGAGUAACACGUGGAUAACCUACCUAUAAGACUGGGAUAACUUCGGGAAACCGGAGCUAAUACCGGAUAAUAUAUUGAACCGCAUGGUUCAAUAGUGAAAGACGGUUUUGCUGUCACUUAUAGAUUGAUCCGCGCCGCAUUAGCUAGUUGGUAAGGUAACGGCUUACCAAGGCAACGAUGCGUAGCCGACCUGAGAGGGUGAUCGGCCACACUGGAACUGAGACACGGUCCAGACUCCUACGGGAGGCAGCAGUAGGGAAUCUUCCGCAAUGGGCGAAAGCCUGACGGAGCAACGCCGCGUGAGUGAUGAAGGUCUUCGGAUCGUAAAACUAUGUUAUUAGGGAAGAACAAAUGUGUAAGUAACUAUGCACGUCUUGACGGUACCUAAUCAGAAAGCCACGGCUAACUACGUG
rnacentral:rRNA from 1 species